UUUCAAUUCUUACUUUGGUUUCAAUUCUCAGUAUUUCAUUAAUAUGCUGCUGACAUACAACCACAGAGGUGACAGACUGUGACGCCCCCGGGCUGUCAUAAAUGCAUUGUUGAAUGCAAUCAUUUUACAUAAUUACGUGUUUGCAAAUGAGGAGACAUUAGGUGCCCAAUUCACCCUCAUGAUAUUUACAGGAUGCUCCAUAAAUAUUAGCUUAAUGUUGGGGAAAUAGUUCCUCUAGCCACGAACUGGAGGUCGGGGUGACACCAAAAUUCCCUUUUUACUAUAUGUAGUUAAAACAGAACCCAUAACCCCAAUUAUUCAUGCGGAUAUACCUGCACAACUGCAAAUAAAAAGUAAAAAUCUUCUUCAGGGAUUCUCAUACCCCACAGGUGCAUUCCAGGACAUAUUCACACUGUAUAUAGAUAUAUAUGCUUUGUAUAGUUUUAUGUUAUCCUGAAAAUCAGAGGCAUUUAGGAAUAUAUAAUUUUAACAAGAAGUAUGAAAUAAGACAUGGCAUCAAACUUUGCGGAGGAGUUAGCUUACAUUUGGCUAAAAUUAGAUUUUAAGCAUAACCCUCAAGUAUGCUCCCUAGGAUUUUCUUUGGUACUUCCACUGACACAAUUUAAUCAACCUCUUUCAUUUGAUAGCACUUUCAAGAAAAUAUCUAGAUGUGGUGCAAAUCUCCAUUAUAUCAAGUUGUUUCAGUUUAACAAUAAUACUCUUUGUU